rnacentral:rRNA from 1 species
AAUGCGUAGAGAUGUGGAGGRAUACCGGUGGCGRAGGCGGCCCCCUGGACAAAGACUGACGCUCAGGUGCGAAAGCGUAGGGGAGCAAACCAGGAUUAGAUUCCCUGGUAGUUCACGCUGUAAACGAUGUCGACUUGGAAGUUGUGUCCUUGAGGCGUGGCUUCCGGAACUAACGCGUUAAGUCGACCGCCUGGGGAGUACGGCCGCAAGGUUAAAACUCAAAAGAAUUGACGGGGGCCCGCACCAACGGUGGAGCAUGUGGUUUAAUUUGAUGCAACGCGAAGAACCUUACCUACUUUUGACAUCCAGAGAAAUUAACAGAGAUGCUUUGGUGCCUUCGGGAACUUUGAGACAGGUGCUGCAUGGCCGUCGUCAACUCGUGUUGUGAAAUGUUGGGUUAAGUUCCGCAACGAACGCAACCCUUAUCCUUUGUUCCCAACGAGUAAUGUCGGGAACUCAAAGGAGACUGCCGGUGAUAAACCGGAGGAAGGUGGGGAUGACGUCAAGUCAUCAUGGCCCUUACGAGUAGGGCUACACACGUGCUACAAUGGCGUAUACAAAGRGAAGCGACCUCGCGAGGGCAAGCGGAACUCAUAAAGUACGUCGUAGUCCGGAUUGGAGUCUGCAACUCGACUCCAUGAAGUCGGAAUCGCUAGUAAUCGUAGAUCAGAAUGCUACGGUGAAUACGUUCCCGGGCCUUGUACACACCGCCCGUCACACCAUGGGAGUGGGUUGCAAAAGAAGUAGGUAGCUUAACCUUCGGGAGGGCGCUUACCCAGU